rnacentral:tRNA from 1 species
GGUGGUAUAGCCCAGUGGUAGAGCGCAUGCGUAGCAUACACGAGGUCAUGGGUUCAAUCCCCAGUCCCUCCA